GCCCAAAAUCAAGCUCUUCUCUCGGUAAGUUGAAGUAACAUUUUGUAGCUUAUUUUGCAAAACACUUGAUGUGUAUCUUGUUUGCUCAACAAUAACUUGUAUAUAAUUUGUAGCAACUAGCCCAACAAGCGGGCGUCCCGAUGCCGACAUAUGGGAUGUCGCCUCCGGACUUUGCACUGCCAAUGCCAAUGUUGGCGCCUCCACCUCCGCCUCCGCCUCCGCCUCCGUCACAAUUCCCUAUGGGAUUUCAGACACCACCCGCUUCAGUUGCCGCACCUGGAGAUGGGUCUGGUCAAGACGACACAACACAUUCGUGGGUGAACAAUCUUUUCAGCACGCAUAGUCCAGCCGGAGGAGGUGGCGAUGGAUAUGAGUGAUAAUGAUGUAAAACACUUGUUGCAACCUUUCAUGUGAAAGCCUAUCCGUCGAAUAAUGUUCAUUUUGGAUUUUGGACAACUAUGUUUAUGUAAACACUUGUUGCAACCAUUUGGAACUAUGUCGUUAUGUUAAAUUUGUGAAUGUAAAUGCUUAUGUGAUUAUAUUUGUGAAUGUGUAUACUUAUGUGAGUAUAUUUGUGAAUG